CCCCAAGGCAGGAAAGACAUCGGAUAUCUGAGGAACAGACAAGCAAGCUAAUAAAGGUGGAACAGGCCAAACAGGAGAACAAGGCAAGGUUCUUCAUCCUGGGCUUCAAAGGAUCGCUGAAUUCUUCUGGAAUUGAAUGGAAAAUUUGUUUGUGCUUUUUUUUUCUUGAGUAAAGAAUCCAUAACUUUCAUCAGAUUCCCCAUGGGUUUACUCCCAAAACACCAAAAUAGUAGAGCUUUCCCCAUCAGCCUUAAGCCUGGCUUUAAUGGCCUUUGGUCAUUAAAAUGAGAAAUAAAUUCAAUUAUCUGUA